UUCGUCAAGUUUAACGGUUUCGGUCGGGGAUAUGGAGCGGCGCCGCUUUGGAAUUUCCCGUUUGGGUUCUUCCCGUUUGGGGUUUUCCCGUUUGGGUAUUUUCCGGCGGCGAAUUUCGAUGAACACGAAGUCAUCGGGCGGAUCGAUGCUCAUUUGAGCAUUUUCGGGAGAGGGAGAGGUAGUAGCGUCGUUAGAGUUGUCUAUGGGGUUGUCGUUGGAUUUUGUGGAGGUGAAUUUGUAAUUACUGAGCAUGUGCUCUACUCUGAGCAGAUACCCACGGACGUCUUUAAUGAGGGCGGUAAGUUCGCCCUCGCUUAGGGAAGAAGGGUUUGGGAAAUUCAUUGUUGAGUUAUCACAACGCGCAAUGUUUUUCCCUAACAUACGGCCUUUUGUGUUUGCGUUUAUUUGCGUUUGCGUUUGUUUGCGCUACUCUACGUCCGUUCGCGUUGCUGUUUGCUGUCAGACGUCUUGUUAUGUCUUUAAUUUUUAUAUUGUAUUUUCAUUACUUAUAUACUAUUUUAGGAAACAAUCUUAAAUAACUAAAUAUACAUAUGUGUAUGUGUUUGUAUGUAUUGCAGUAUAUUCCCUGCCAGCCACGGCUAACCACUUUUCUCACUUACACAUUUUUCUUCUUUCUUACACAUUUUUUCUCUAUGCACUAACACCAACCCACAUUUUCGGGUUAUUUUUUGUUUACCUAAAUGCGGUGAAAAAACGUUUCUUUCGUUUCCUGAUUUAUUUGAUUGAAUGCGAAUGAGAAAACAUAAUUGUCAAUAGUACCAAAAGAAAAUCCCUAAAAGGGUAAUAAAAAACGAUUGAAAGACGCAUGUCAUUCGUGCUCGUACAACAAGGAGAAUGAAUUGGAAAUAGCAGCAGCAGCAAUAUUAUCAGAAGCAGAAAAUAUAAAUUGUUAAAAAAUGCAACCCUGCAUCAGCUGACGCUUAUGGUAAUUAGAGCAGUUCAGCUAUAUUCUUACAUAAAUAAUGUAUAUGACACUGCUGAAUGAGCGCAACAGAGAUGUAUGAUCGACCUAUGGCGAGCUCACCACUUUUUUGACUACUGCGAGUACUUUUGAGGGUUUCAAAACCUACUGUUUCACUAAUUUUUUUACACUGUUGGAUGGCAGGGUUGUUUAUGUUGCAUGUCUUGGAGUUGUUUUCAAGUGUAGACUGUCUGUCCUGCUCUAAUGUCCCCAAUCGACACUUUAAUGCAGGGUUGCAUUUUCUUUUUCCUAAUUUAAAAUAUUUUUAAAAUUCUAAAUAUUUAAAAUUUAAAAUGUUUUCUUUGUCUUUAUUAAUAAAAUUUUUUUACAGAA